GGAGAUGUCUCAUGUCUAGCAUCUUUCCUCGCGCCAUUCCUUCGUUUCCCCCGCAUCUUUGUCGUCUCUUGCGCAAGAGCGCGCUCGGAGGGAGCAAAACAGCCAACCGGUCAUUGUUCCUGCAACUCCAAGGGUACAUCUAAGUCUCAGGGCUCGCUGCUUUCGAGGGAUUUGAAUAGAGUCCCUAAGGGUUUUGUUCUGCAUUAAUGGAGGAUGAAUCCUCACGAAUCCCUAAAGAGAAUCACGGAGCAUCCGAGGGAGGAACGGUCGAAGAAAAUUCAUCGUGUUCUUAUCUCGAUCUCACCAGCUAUCAGCUCCAUGACCUCGAUGGAAUCGAGCUUCCUCCGAGUUUAUUCGAGUUGGAUUUAACGGCCAAUCGUUUAUGCACGUUGGAUCCUCGAAUAGCCCUCCUCAGGGAGCUAAAAAAGCUCUAUCUGCGGCAAAAUUUAUUUGAUGACGCCGGAAUCGAGCCAAUUUCUCGAUGGGAUUCCAUAUCGGCCCUUGAAGAGCUAGUUCUCAGGGACAACAGGCUUAAGAAGAUACCAGAUGUCAGUAUUUUCAAAAGCCUUCUUGUAUUUGAUGUUUCUUUCAACGAGAUUUCUUCCUUAAAUGGUCUAUCAAAGAUCACGAACACGCUCAAGGAACUCUAUGUUUCUAAGAAUGAAGUGACUAAGAUGGAGGAACUCGACCACUUCCAUGAUCUACAAAUUCUUGAGCUGGGCUCCAACAGAUUACGGGUAAUAGAGAAUUUGCAAAACCUAGCACAUUUACAAGAGCUGUGGCUGGGACGCAAUCGCAUCCGAACAGUAAACCUGUGUGGACUAAGAUGCAUCAAGAAGAUUAGCUUGCAGAGCAACCGCUUGACAUCCAUGUUGGGAUUUCAGGAUUGCGUUUCUUUAGAAGAGCUAUACUUGAGCCAUAAUGGUAUUUCAAAGAUGGAAGGGCUAUCCACCUUAGCUAAUCUGCGUGUUCUGGAUGUUUCUUCAAAUAAGUUAACAACCAUUGAUGACAUUGAACACCUGACAAGGUUGGAGGAUCUGUGGCUCAAUGACAACCAAAUUGCAUCACUUGAAGGCAUUGAUGUAGCUGUCGCAGGUUCAAGCAAAAAGCUCACCACCAUUUAUCUUGAGCGCAAUCAAUGUGCAACUUCAUCAAAUUACUCUGCUAUUCUUCGAAGUAUCUUCCCAAAUCUUCAACAGAUUGAUUCAGACAUAUUCUUCUAGGACUCCAAGCUUUUUCCCUUGUUAUGCUAUUUCAAGGAGAGUGUGAGUAUAUAUUGAUCGCCUCCAAGAAAAAUGGACCAACUUGAUACAAGUUGGUGCAGAUGAUGAAGUUAAUUUUUGUGGUAGGUUUAAAGGUUAUUCAGUUGGUUCCUGAACAUUCCUUUCCUACAAGGAGAUGAGAAUGCAGCUGUGGAACAGGGGCUGGAUGAACGUGCACAACUUUUUCAAUUGCAUCUGUCGAGAUAAAUUUGAUUACUGUACAUCAUCUAAAUCUUACCCCUCCCCUCUUUGCACACACUUGUAGACCCUUUGACUGAGGAGAGAUUAUGAUCCAAAUGGGUGGUGUAGAGAAAUCAUGGUUUACUGUGUUCUUUCCAAGUUGAUGUAUUUGGGUCUAGAUUAUAAUAACUGUAAUUUGAUGAAUUUUUAUAUUUA